rnacentral:lncRNA from 1 species
UCUGGUUAUGACUUCCAGAAAUUAACUCAAUCUAUGUAGUCACUGGUUGCUUCUGAGCAAAUGCAAUGCCUUUCUCAAUGCUGGCCUUCAGUUCAGGCUUGAGAGCUUCCAGUGCCUUCUGUUCAUACUCAGUCAGCCCUUGGAGGUCAGAUGAAAUGAUAGCUUCAACCCCCUUCCUUCCAAGUUUUACCCUUGAUGCGAAGAAUGGAAGCUCAGUAAGAUCUGAUUGCACAAACGAGCACUCAUAGACAUCAGCAUCACCGUCCAACGCGCGAAGAGAAGAUUCGACAAAUCUGGCUGCAGCAUAUGCCAUUGACAGGGUAGCAGACCCUGCCCCUUCCUUUGCCUCCACAACUUCUGUCCCAGCAUUCUGGAUCCUUACAGUUAGUUCUUGCACUUCCUCAUCAUUGAAACUAACUGGGGGUCUCGUCUUUGAUAGGAGGGGAAGAAUGGUUAUCCCAGCGUGCCCCCCUACUACUGGUACAUCCACAUCGAUAAGCUUGAGAUUCUUCUUCUGAGCAACAAAUGUGUUUGCCCUAACAACAUCAAGUGUCGUAACACCAAAGAGCUUCUUUGGAUCAUACACACCUUUCUGCUUCAAAACUUCAGCUGCAAUUGGCAAUGUAGAGUUGACUGGAUUGCUGAUAAUGUGUAUGAAAGCAUCAGGGCAGUUAUCGGCAACAGCCUCAACCAACGUCUUUACUAUGUUGGCGUUGAUGCUGAAGAGGUCAUCGCGGGUCAUACCAGGCUUCCUUGGAACCCCAGCUGGAAUGACAACAACAUCUACACCCUUCAAAGAAUUGGGUAAUUCAGAAGAUCCUGUGAAACCCAAGACUUGUGAAGGGGUGUUACAGUGACUGAGAUCAGCAGCAACUCCCUUGACAUUUGCUAUAUCAUAGAUGUGCAGGGCUGAAAUCAAUGGGGACAUCUUAACUAGAAGUGCUAAAGGCUGACCUAUCCCUCCAGCAGCUCCAAGAAUUGCCACCUUGUAAGAUGCCUGUGGGUUUAGGUUAUACUGUGACCUUUGGCUUGAUUUUUGAGCUUUUGGUGCAGCAGCGCCUCGAAGCGCUGCACUGCUUUCCUUGCCUAAGAAAGAUGACUCCGACUCACACUUAACAAAGAUUGCUGCCUUGAGUCCACUGAAGGUCGCAAGAGUGUUCUGGGAGUUAAAUCUCACAGACAAGGGCUUCGAUUGCGGGAGUUGGCUCCCUUUGGUGCCAAGGGAGAUAGUUGAUCCAAUUGAAAAGGUAGCAGCAGAUGUUGCUGCCAUUUUGGAUAGCUGUGAAACAAAAAACAAUGCAGGGCUUAUUUCAUUAAAGAACUAACACUUUUAACAACGAAAGUGAAGUUUAUUUGAAUUCAAUCCAAAAGAUAAAGAUGCAGUUCAUCACUAUCCAGGCACCUCUAGCAGCCAAAGCAUGAUCCGAAAACAUAACAUACUUAAGAACAAACUGAAAGAAGUUAAAUUAGCAAAACCAAGCAACCUCACUUCAAAACCACCUUUAAAAUUAAACCACCAACCACACAUUAACCUUAUAGAAAUUCCUUAAAUACAUCAUUGCAGUGAUAAAUACAAAUAUAGCGUCAAAAUGUAAGGUAUAACUGAACAAAAAUCUUCAAAAGCAUAGGCCAUUGAAGAUUGAAAAACCAAAAUCCUGUAAGCAAAGUGAUAACAGAUCCAUUACUAUAAAACAGAGAAACAAAAAUAUGUAGAUGUGGCGUUGGGAAAAUUAAAAGGUAUAAUUGAAGUAGCUAAGUAAAGAAAUUGGUUAGAAAUAAUAUUCAAUAUUACUUUGGGUAAUUAUAUAAUUAAGGAGAAAAAAUAAUAACGUUAAUUAGCUAUUUUUAACAAUUAAUCAAAGUGAGCACAUCCACCUUCUCUCAGACACACAAAAAAAAAAAAAAAAAAACAUGAGCAGUCACAAUAAAAAUUUGAGGGCUAACAAUCCAUAAUUUAUAAUGAGAUUAUUGGAUCCAUCUACCACCAUUUAAAAAUCAGAAAUUCAAAACCUAGGGCAUAUCUAAAAGAGCUUUACUUACACACAGGGACAUUUCUGGAGAGAAAAAGGCAAUUCAAAGCAGCAGCCAGUACUGCACUGCAGGGACUAAAGUGAACAAUAUUUAAAUCCAAAGGGACUAGACUGUAAGACACGUCAUCUUCAACCUCAACCAGACCUUAGAAUAUGUUCCAGUAAAUACCCAUCUCUACAUGGUUUCUUUUCUUUUUCUGUUUUUUUAGGUUCAAAUUACAAAGUAAAAUAAUCAGGUUAAAUGAAAAUCCUUUAAUCUAGAGAAGAACAGGUGGUAAUCCACAUAUCACUCUACCAUUCACUGAAAACACCUUAAGAGAUAGCACAAAUUUAAAUUUUAGCAAAAAGCUUCAGACUAUCUUCUCCAAAUCCAUAAUUGAAUCCACAUAAAAUUAAAAACCAUAAAUCCAAACGUUUAAGACUGGUUUCUAUCUAAUUCAUGCAACAUUUUUUUUUUUAUUGAAAUAGAAGCCAACCCCAGAUGGCAAAACUAAAAGGAACAGAUAAUAAAAAAAAGCAAUUAAUAUAUUCAUAAAUUAAAUAAAUAAAAAAUGUAUGGCUUCUAAUAAUUUAAAGCUGCAAGAAAAGCAAUAAUAGCAUUAAUGAUAAAAAUAUGAAAAUGGGGUUGGUUGGUUUUACCUAUUGGAAGAGAUAAGGUAAAGACUUUGAAGAAGGACUGCUUCUGCUGAAACAAUGAAAUUUAGCUAAAGGAAAGGGAUGUUAGUGUUGAGAUCGAAAAAAUAAAAAUCAAAUCUUUUAUAUUAAGCGUUUUUUUUUGUUGAGGUUUUUGCAUGGCCUGAUUCUCAUUUCAGACUAUGAAAAUGUUGGGAUGAAAGAAUUUUUUCAACGGGUGGAAUGCUAACACGUGGAACGAUAUGGUCCAGAUUUCAUCUUGGACUGGGGUGGUUUUGAGGGUUUUUUUUUCUGGGACACUGACCCGAAAACGAAAGAAAAGAAACUGGAAAUUACGUGUUAUUGGACUCUUUAUAAUAAUUACUAUAUUAUUGACCAACGGUCGGUCAAAUCUUUCUUAAAUAUUAAGAAAUUAUUCAAAUGUUAUCAAUAUUUUAAUUUUUCAAUGAAAAAAAAUAAACUUCACAAUUUUAAAAGUAACCUAAACGUAAAAAUAUUAUUUAAUUCGGGAAAAAUUAUUAAGAUAAUAACAUAUUGAAUUGAUUUGGAUUAACCUGAGUUAACAUGUCAAAUUCAUGACCCGAGUUAUGAGAUCAUGAUAAUCUUAUAGAAAACAAAUCAAAACAAAUUAUAAAGUUUAAUUCUCAUUCAAUCAAAUGUUGAAGGAUAAAAUUGAAAAUAAAUAAAUUAAAAAAGGACCUGAAAAAAGAACUAAGUUAACUUGUCAAACCCGUGACCGAAACAUAAUACUGAGAUAACCUCAUGGAAAGCAAAUUAAAUCAAAUUACAAAGUCUAAUUUUUAAUCAGUCCAAUUUUAAAGGAUGAGAUUAAAAAAAUAAAUCAAUUAAAAAACAUAAAAAAUUACCAUCUGACUAUUACAUGAAUUACUGAAAAGGGAGACUAUAUAUAAUUAUGAUUUGACUAUUUAUUUAAUUUAAAUUUUAAAUUAAAUCGCGUGGGAAUUUUCUUGACGUGAUCUUAUUCACUAAAUAGGUCAAAAGAAAAAAAUUAACUCAAUAAUAAAAUAAAAUAAAAAUCUAAAUUAAAAAAAAAUAACAAAAAAAAGAUAAAAAAAACCUAAAGGAAUUAAAAGCCUUAUAUUAAAAGAUGAAAUUGAAAAAACUAUAUAAAAAAAAUCAAAAAAACUUUUAUUAUAUCAUAACAAAUACAAAAACUAAUUUACCACCAACCUAAUUCUAAAUGAUAAAAUUAAAUAAAAAUAUCAUAUUAAAGAAUGAAAAAAAAAAAUAAGGACAAAAAACUCAUUAAAUGAUGAAGAUGAGAAAAAAAGAACAAGAAAAAACAUAAGAUCAUUAAAAAAAGAGACAAAAAACUUCUAUUAUAUGAUAAAAAAAAUACAAAAAAUAAUUUAUUAUCAAUUCAAUAUUAAAAAAUACAAUUAAAUAAAAUUUUAUAUUAAAAAAAAAUUAAAAAAAAUCAUGAGGAACCAAAUGGCAAAUAAAAAAAGUCAAGGCACGUGGGCCUAAAGAAAACCUACAGGCUUUGAAUUUUUUUUUUCCACCCUUUCUUUUUUUAAAAAAAUACAAAAGACAUGCCAUUUAUUGCUUAAAAAGAUUUAUUUGUUUAUGCUAGAAUUCAAACUCAUGAUAGCUACAACACUAAAAGCUUGUUAUUUAAUGACAAAUAAUAUAUUACCCGAUCAAUAUUCAUAUGAAGUAUUAAACUAAUCCUAUGUAUAAAAAUAUAAUAAUAUUAUUUUUUAAAAUAUUUUUCAAUCAUAAAAAUACUAAAAUAAUAUAUAUAUAUAUUUUUAAAAAAUUUCAAGUUUUAACUCAACGCCAAACACCCCAUUGUAUUGAUAAUAAACCGGGCCAAAAAUGCUAGACUGUUACUGACUUUAGAACUGCUCUCGAACCCGGUACUUAGAUAUGUGCAUUAUUGCAUGAUGCUCUACUGUUGCUAUCCAUUUCGAAUCUUCAUAGUGCAUCCUUCCUAUUUACGAGAGGCAAAGUCCAAGUUCCUGGCCCUUGACCUCCAUGAGAUUAAGAAUGGCUAUCCUAUGAUUACAAUAUUCAAUAAAGCUCUUGAAAUGUUGCCUCCACACAACUGGGUUACCCACCUUCAUCACGGGGAAUACGUUUUCGAGAAAAAAUGGGGCUGCCUAGCUUCUUAUAAAGGUUUCCUGGGAUCCUCUUACUCGUAUGAAUUCAUAGAUUAACACAUGCCUUGGAUUAUCUGCCACAAUAUAAUUACGAACAUACAGAGAUUCUGGUAAUACAGCCUUCCUAACAAAGACAGCUGCGAAAGGACCAGGUUGAAAAUGACAGCUCAAUAUGGUUUCUUGGUUAUUCAAAUGACAAUAGACGCAUAAAAGUUUUCUCAGUUAUUAAUAAAAAUGUUGGGAUACAUCAGCAGUGUUAUUUCAAAAAGGUAAAAGGAAAGGUACAUGCCCUCAAUGGUAGCAAUUGCAAUUUUCAAACCUACAAUGCUAUCAUGGAAUAUCUCAUUAAAAAAGAGUUUCUCACGAUAUAAAAAGAAAAUUCUACAAAACUUAAAGUGCUGAUGUAAUGAUGAGCCGCAACAAAAAUUAUCAACCGCAAUAAACCUGCAUUUCAGUAUGGUUUAGGCUUCCAGAACUGACCUCACUCUAUGCAGCCACUGGUUCCCUCUGAGCAAAUGCGAUACCUUUCUCAAUGCUGGCCUUCAGUUCAGGCUUGAGAGCUUCCAGUGCCUUCUGUUCAUACUCAGUCAGCCCUUGGAGGUCAGAUGAAAUGAUAGUUUCAACCCCCUUCCUCCCAAGUUUUACCCUUGAUGCGAAGAAUGGAAGAUCAGUAAGAUCUGAUUGCACAAACGAGCACUCAUAGACAUCAGCAUCACCGUCCAACGCACGAAGAGAAGAUUCAACAAAUCUGGCUGCAGCAUAUGCCAUUGACAGGGUAGCAGACCCUGCGCCUGCCUUUGCCUCCACAACUUCUGUCCCUGCAUUCUGGAUCCUCACAGUUAGCUCCUGCACUUCCUCAUCAGUGAAACUAACAGAGGGUUUUGUCUUUGAUAGAAGGGGAAGAAUGGUUAUCCCAGCAUGCCCUCCCACCACUGGUACAUCCACAUCGAUAAGCUUGAGGUUUUUCUUCUCAGCAACAAAUGUAUUUGCCCUCACCACAUCAAGUGUAG